AGUGACAGAAUCUCCCUCCAUCACUGACACUGACUUCACUCCAUCAACACCAAACACAGCUGAAGAACAAAGAGGAACAGAGAAAUAAAGCGAUAGAAAUACUACGUAAUCAUAUGUUCAGAAAAACUGAUUCAUAAAGGCUUGUUAAAGCGCAUCAUCAUCUCCUCCUAGUAUUCUGACGUCAGAAUGUCUGAUUCUUCAGUAAAGGACUGAUGUUGACCUCACAACACUGUAGCCACGCCCACCAGAGUACAGACACCAAUCAGAACACCGUUCCUGUGGUCUAAAGGGAAAACACCCUAAUAAUUUAACACAACUGUUUCUUUUUCAAAAGGUUUCAAUAGUUAUACCUGGAUUUAACAGACUAAAUAAUUCUAACUUGAACAAAACAGGAUCACAGGGUCUUGUUUUUGACUUUAGAGCUCUGGUUCUAGUCUGGUCUUUAGAAGCAGAUGAGGAUCAUGGAGCGCCUCCUCAGGACUAAACAUGAAACUUCUCACAUCUGCGAUGUUAUUGCAUGUUAUUAGUGUGUGUGGGUGUUUGUGAGAUUUCAUUCACAGAGGGGCUGUCUUAUUGUGGGCGGUUUGAUGCUCAGUGCUCGGACUGCCCACUUUCUGGGAAACCUCAACUCAGUUAGUAGAUUUUUUAUUUUUAUUUAACCUAAUUGAUUCCUUUCUUUACUGUCGUGGCUUCAGUUUUAUUUGUAAUGUAAUAAAGCUUCAUUUGAUAUG